AUUGAACGCUGGCGGCAGGCCUAACACAUGCAAGUCGAGCGGAGCGGCGGACGGGUGAUUUAUGCCUAGGUAUCUGCCUGGUAGUGGGGGAUCACGUCCGGAAACGGGCGCUAAUACCGCAUACUAUCAGAUCAGCCUAGGUCGGAUGAGCUAGUGGGUGGGGUAAUGGCCUACCAAGGCGACGAUACGUAACUGGUCUGAGAGGAUGAUCAGUCACAAUGGAAAUGAGACACGGUCCAGACUCCUACGGGAGGCAGCAGUGGGGAAUAUUGGACAAUGGGCGAAAGCCUGAGCCAGCAAUGCCGCGUGUGUGAAGAAGGUAUUCGGAUUGUAAAGCACUUGAAGUUGGGAGGCGUUACCAACAGAAUAAGCAACGGCUAACUUCGUGCCAGCAGCCGCGGUAAUUC
rnacentral:rRNA from 1 species